rnacentral:misc_RNA from 1 species
UUUCCGUAGGUGAACCUGCGGAAGGAUCAUCAUUGAAUCCCAUAAACACUCACCUUGUGAACCGAGUAGCUUUGUAUGCAUGCUUUGUCCAUUUGGGCUGACUUGCAUUACAAGCUGCUUUCAUAUGUGUACUUGCUGCUCAUAUAUGGACACGUGUUGGCGGUGAUUUGGCAUGGUGUGUGUGUAGUCGUUUUGGUGACUGCGGUAGCAAUCAUCAUCUGGCAACACGUACGCCUUGCCUGCCCGCCAACCGCGUCCAGUUGCAGCUUGUUAUAUAAAUAAAAACCAUUUAAAAAAAUCUACAAACUUAUAUAUAAUUUAUUAAAAAAACAACUUUCAACAAUGGAUCUCUUGGCUCUC